rnacentral:rRNA from 1 species
GAUGAACGCUGGCGGCGUGCCUAACACAUGCAAGUCGAGCGAAGCACUUACUUUAGCUUUCUUCGGAAUGACGAAGUUUGUGACUGAGCGGCGGACGGGUGAGUAACGCGUGGGCAACCUGCCCUGUACAGGGGGAUAACAGGUAGAAAUGACUGCUAAUACCGCAUAAGCCCACAGCUUCGCAUGAAGCAGUGGGAAAAACUCCGGUGGUACAGGAUGGGCCCGCGUCUGAUUAGCUAGUUGGUAAGGUAACGGCUUACCAAGGCGACGAUCAGUAGCCGAGCUGAGAGGGUGACCGGACACAUUGGGACUGAGACACGGCCCAAACUCCUACGGGAGGCAGCAGUGGGGAAUAUUGCACAAUGGGGGAAACCCUGAUGCAGCGACGCCGCGUGAGCGAUGAAGUAUUUCGGUAUGUAAAGCUCUAUCAGCAGGGAAGAAAGUGACGGUACCUGACUAAGAAGCCCCGGCUAACUACGUG